UUCUACGUAGGUUCAAUUGUGUAUGGGGCUGAAAUGGUAUUGACCUAAUUCACACUAUACGCCGGUUAAUUGGCCAAAAUAUCCAAUUCAACUCCAAAUAAAUUCAUUUCACUUCCAAUACUCCAAAUCAUCAAAUAUAAGCUAGAUAACAUGAAUUAUAGCAAAAUCAUCCUCAACAUUUUCUCUUGGAAAAAUUCGGCCAUGGAGGGUUCAUGAAUAAUAUGUGGUUUUUCAUGCUUGAUUUUUACACUUUACAUCAUAAAACAACUAAAAAUACCUAAAUAGCAUGAAAUUCAUCAAAGUCCAUUUUCCAAUUUCUCUCUUGAAAAAUUCAGCCAAUGGGUGUGGGUGAAGGGCAUGAAAUUUCUUGCUUGUUUUCCAUGCUAAACAUCACCAAACAACUAAAAACACUAGAAUAACAUGAAAUCUAGCUAAAUUCAAGAUCAAAACCCCUCUCCCCAUGUCCGGCCAGUAAAGGUAUCUUCAUGCAAACUUGAUUCUCAACCAUGGAAAAUGAAAAAGAAUGCAUAGGAAAGGUAGAUCACAAGCUAAAAUCAAGAAAUUUUACCUUUACUUGCUUAAUUCCUUGAAAUCCACCAAUUUUCCCUUGAAUUUUUGCUCACUAGGGUUUGUUCUCUUCUUUUUUCUCUUUGUUCUUGU
rnacentral:lncRNA from 1 species